AGGUGCGAUCAGACCAGCACUGAUGCACCGGAUCCCAUCAGAACUCCGCAGUGAAGCAUGUUUGGGCGAGAGUAGUAUUAGGAUGGGUGACCUCCUAGGAAGUCCUCGUGUUGCACCUC
rnacentral:rRNA from 2 species